GUCCAUGGCGGUAACAGAUCAAUGCCGCCUCCUUCAAUUUUUAUCAUCUAUAACAGCUAUUUUUAUUUCCAUGUGCCUGAAUUCUUUAUUUAUCUGUAAAUUUUUACAAAAUUGAGUGGCGAGAACAUUAUUUACUGGGCUGUAGCUAACUUGAACUAUAAGAAAAGUUAUAUUUUAUGUACAAUUUUAUUUAUUUUACACAUUUUGAUGUAAUUCACUGAAUGCCUCAAUAACAAGUCAUGCCGAGGUAGUGUUGUAUAAUCUCACGUUGACCUGAGUGUUGGUCCCACAGAAAGAAAAUCUUUCUACCUGGAGAUAUGGGUGGUACUUGACCAAGGAAAAAGAGAAGGAUAACAGUGAAGAUCAUGAGGCAACGAAGAAGGAAAGAGAUAAAGUAUUAAGUUGUAAGAUUUUUUUAAAUUUUAAAAUAAAAAAAAGAGCAUCGAUCCCUCAGAAACUGCUCAGCAAUCCCACUGGCCUGGAGGUGGAUGAGAGCGACUGGCUUUCUAACCCCAAACUUUUACCGAGAUGAAAGUAUCGU